rnacentral:rRNA from 1 species
AGAGUUUGAUCCUGGCUCAGAACAAACGCUGGCGGCGUGCCUAACACAUGCAAGUCGUACGUGAAAGUUCCGCAAGGAACGAGUAAAGUGGCGAACGGGUGAGUAAUACAUAGGUAAUCUACUUAUAAGUUCGGGAUAACAUUUCGAAAGGAUUGCUAAUACCGGAUAAUGUGCUUAGUCAAAAGAUUAAGCACCAAAGGUGGCCUCUUCACAAUGCUAUCGAUUAUAAAUGAGCCUAUGGACCAUUAGUUAGUUGGCAGGGUAAUAGCCUACCAAGACAAAGAUGGUUAGCUGGUCUGAGAGGAUGACCAGCCACACUGGAACUGAAACACGGUCCAGACUCCUACGGGAGGCACCAUUGGGGAAUAUUGCGCAUUGGGGGAAACCCUGACGCAGCAUCGCCUUGUGAGCGAUNAANGCCUUCGGGUUGUAAAGCUCUGUUAAAUAAAAAGAACUCCCAUAUUCUAAUACAAUAUGGGAUUGACGGUNUUAUUAGAGAANCACCGGCAAAUCCGUGCCAGCAGCCGCGGUNAGACNGAGGGUGCAAGCUUUGUUCGGAAUUACUGGGCUGUAAAGGGCGUGUAGGCGUCUAAUAAGUUAGGUGUGAGAUCUUCAGGCUCACCUGAAGAGUGCACUUAAGACUGCUAACUAGAGGUGGCAGGGACAGCGAAUUCCAGUGUAGAGGUAAAUUCUAAAUUUAAGAAGACACCGGCGCAAGGCGCUUCCGACAUUCUACCUAAACCGAAAGCUGCGAGCAACGGAUAAUCCUGGAUCCCGCUUACCAUAACUAAUAUGGAGACUUCUUCUUGCUCAGCUACCGUAGGUCGCGGGAGUACGUCAGAUAACUCAGAUGACGGCCCAGCGGACGGUAUCACACGAACUACGGUGAUCUACUAAUACUCGAAGUCGUCUGAUGUCGCUUCUAUCUGUCUAAGAGCUCUGAG